UCAUUUCCCCUUUUAUAAUAAAAAUAGCAAAGAAGGCUUCCUGCUUAUUUAUGAAAGAAUUUCAGGAAAAAGUGCUAAAUGCAUGACUGGGUAAGCUGUUGAAUGGUAAGGAAUUUUCCAGAAAGACACCAGGUUUCUCCCAGUGCAAGGUGCGACCUAGAAGCAGUUGAUGAGUGAAAGGGCUCCCGGAUUCAUCUUGUUAUUGGCUGCUUAUUUGAGCUAAAUAAAUUUUUAAAAACAGACAUGAUCCUAUGUUUUAAGAUUUUGGUAUCUUCUGAGAACAAUUUUACUCUUUUUAAGGAUUAAAUGAAAUCACAAUGUUAGCUUGGCAAAACACACCAACCCUGAAUUUUUAAAGAGCCACUGAUGUGUAUUCCCUGCACUUUUUGAAUCCUCAUGACAAUGUCUGUUAACAGCACGAGAGUCACAGCUGAGUGUCCAACUAGUCAGGGAACGCUGUG
rnacentral:lncRNA from 1 species